UGAAAAGCAAAGCAAGAAAGACAAGAAACAUCUAGUUAGAGACGAGCCUGGCUUGGUACUGGCUUUUGACAUGGACGACACAAGUGACGAGACGGUACUGGACACGGUGCUGUUUGGUAAUUUUUCGUUGGAAGAAACCGAGACCUUGACGGAGACAAAAAC